UACGUAGGGUGCAAGCGUUGUCCGGAAUUAUUGGGCGUAAAGAGCUCGUAGGCGGUUCGUCGCGUCGGCUGUGAAAACCCGGAGCUCAACUCCGGGCCUGCAGUCGAUACGGGCGGACUUGAGUGUUGCAGGGGAGACUGGAAUUCCUGGUGUAGCGGUGAAAUGCGCAGAUAUCAGGAGGAACACCGGUGGCGAAGGCGGGUCUCUGGGCAACUACUGACGCUGAGGAGCGAAAGCGUGGGGAGCGAACGGG
rnacentral:rRNA from 1 species